GAUGAAGAACGUAGCGAAAUGCGAUAAGUAAUGUGAAUUGCAGAAUUCAGUGAAUCAUCGAAUCUUUGAGCGCACAUUGCGCCCGCCAGUAUUCUGGCGGGCAUGCCUGUCCGAGCGUCAUUUCAACCCUCGAACCCCUCCGGGGGGUCGGCGUUGGGGAUCGGCCCUUUCACCGGGUGCCGGCCCCUAAAUACAGUGGCGGUCUCGCCGCAGCCUCUCAUGCGCAGUAGUUUGCACACUCGCACCGGGAGCGCGGCGCGUCCACGUCCGUAAAACACCCCAACUUCUGAAAUGUUGACCUCGGAUCAGGUAGGAAUACCCGCUGAACUUAAGCAUAUCAAUAAGCGGAGGA
rnacentral:misc_RNA from 1 species